AAGGCUACACUGACAGGAGUCAUUUCUAUAGAGCUUGUUCCUGGAGAAGUUUCUCUGAACGUAUAGAGCGCGGGAACCACCAGGAGGAGGCACAGGUCUCUUUCUCGCCUGAGUGUGAGGCUGGCUCUUGGCGUUGCUUCUGCCCCUCAUUGGCCAUGGACAGUUCACCGUUCUCCUCUUCCUGUGGGAGAGUGAGAGGGGAAGAUGCCAUCUGAGCGGU